rnacentral:rRNA from 1 species
UGCGUAGUCGGUUUGACAAGUUGGUAGUGAAAUUCCAGGGCUCAACUCUGGCGCUAUUACCAAAACUGUCGAACUUGAGUGCGAGAGAGGUAAGUGGAAUUCCUAGUGUAGCGGUGGAAUGCGUAGAUAUUAGGAGGAACACCAGUGGCGAAGGCGACUUACUGGCUCGUAACUGACGAUGAGGCACGAAAGCGUGGGGAGCAAACA